rnacentral:rRNA from 1 species
UACGAAGGAUUCGAGCGUUAUCCGGAUUUAUUGGGUUUAAAGGGUGCGUAGGUGGACUAAUUAGUCAGUGGUGAAAGCCCGCAGCUUAACUGCGGAACUGCCAUUGAUACUGUUAGUCUUGAGUACAGUUGAGGUGGGCGGAAUGUGUCAUGUAGCGGUGAAAUGCUUAGAUAUGACACAGAACACCGAUUGCGAAGGCAGCUCACUAAGCUGUAACUGACACUGAGGCACGAAAGCGUGGGGAGCAAACAGG